UACGGGGGGGGCAAGCGUUGUUCGGAAUUACUGGGCGUAAAGCGUGCGCAGGCGGUUUUGUAAGUCUGUUGUGAAAUCCCCGGGCUCAACCUGGGAAUGGCAAUGGAGACUGCAAGGCUAGAGUUUGGCAGAGGGGGGUAGAAUUCCACGUGUAGCAGUGAAAUGCGUAGAUAUGUGGAGGAACACCGAUGGCGAAGGCAGCCCCCUGGGUCAAGAUUGACGCUCAUGCACGAAAGCGUGGGGAGCAAACAGG
rnacentral:rRNA from 1 species